UGUAAUGGUUAACCUGUCACAGUAGAGA
rnacentral:piRNA from 1 species